CCUGAGUACGACGGAGCACGUGAAAUUCCGUCGGAAUCUGGGAGGACCAUCUCCUAAGGCUAAAUACUCUCUAGUGACCGAUAGUGAACCAGUACCGUGAGGGAAAGGUGAAAAGUACCCCGGAAGGGGAGUGAAAGAGAACUUGAAACCGUGUGCUUACAAGUAGUCAGAGCCCGUUAAUGGGUGAUGGCGUGCCUUUUGUAGAAUGAACCGGCGAGUUACGAUCUGAUGCAAGGUUAAGCAGAAAAUGUGGAGCCGUAGCGAAAGCGAGUCUGAAUAGGGCGAAUGAGUAUUUGGUCGUAGACCCGAAACCAGGUGAUCUACCCUUGGUCAGGUUGAAGUUCAGGUAACACUGAAUGGAGGACCGAACCGACUUACGUUGAAAAGUGAGCGGAUGAACUGAGGGUAGCGGAGAAAUUCCAAUCGAACUUGGAGAUAGCUGGUUCUCUCCGAAAUAGCUUUAGGGCUAGCCUCAAGUGAUGAUUAUUGGAGGUAGAGCACUGUUUGGACGAGGGGCCCCUCUCGGGUUACCGAAUUCAGACAAACUCCGAAUGCCAAAUAAUUUAACUUGGGAGUCAGAAUGUGGGUGAUAAGGUCCAUAUUCGAAAGGGAAACAGCCCAGACCACCAGCUAAGGUCCCAAAAUAUAUGUUAAGUGGAAAAGGAUGUGGCGUUGCCCAGACAACUAGGAUGUUGGCUUAGAAGCAGCCAUCAUUUAAAGAGUGCGUAAUAGCUCACUAGUCGAGUGACACUGCGCCGAAAAUGUACCG
rnacentral:rRNA from 1 species